AGCUCCGGAGUCACAAAAGGGCGGAUGCCGUUUCUAUAGCGACGGGAGGGGCCGUGGCCGUGUCGCGCGCUCUGCCUCGCGCUCCCAGCCUCCCGCAGCGGUUGGCGGUCAGCGCCGGCCUCGGGCAGCUCCACUCGCCAUCUACCCGCACCAGAAUAAAAGGACCGCGGAGGCUCUUAAUUCGCGAGCAUUCCGGCAAGACUACGAGCCAGCUAGGGUCCGCUACGCUCUUCUAGGACUCACAUUGAUGCUAAAAAGCCAAGGACAUGCGAUUUGACUUCAUCCAUGGGUUUGAAAGAAAAGUUAAAGUAUGCUAAGGUUUGAGUAAGGAAAUGCAAACAAGUCAGUAACUGGUUUCUGCACAUGAAGUCUUGGGUUUCAGUGGACAGUUACGAUACUAACUGGAGAAAGAAAAUGAAUUGUAUGAAUCAUAAUCCCUUCAUCUAAGAAAACGCUGAAGAGGGAGCUAUGGAUCUUACCAUGUCUACUGCCCCAAGCAGGUGUUAAGAGGACAACUUAAAUAUUUAAAUAAAUGAAUCAUAAUUUAUGUUUUCACAGUAUUUAAAGUUACAAAUGAUAAGUGUGAUAUUUAUAAUAACCAAGUAUUCACAUAUUUUAAUAUGGAUCUUGGUAACAUUUCAGCCAAGGGAAAUUUUUAAAUGUGAUUUCACUUGACUUUAAGACGAUAGUGUAGCCCUCUCUCUAGUAAUCUGGAGUUCUUUUCAGAAUGCCCUAUUCAUUUGGCUAACACGAGGUAAAACCUUGAUGCCAGUGGAGGUUCCCUAUCCUUUUUGCUUAGCUGGCAAGGAUCAAAGAACUCUCAGCCUCUCAGGAGGCUGGGAGCGGUGGCUCACGCCUGUAAUCUCAGCACUUUGGGAGGGAGAGGCGGGUGGAUCACCUGAGGUCCGGAGUUCGAGACCAACCUGACCAACAUUGCGAAACCCUGUCUCUACUAAAAAUACAAAAUUAGCCGGACCUGGUGGCGUGCACCUAUAAUCCCAGCUACUCGGGAGGCUGAGGCAGGAGAAUCUCUUGAACCCGGGA